UACAGAGGAGGCAAGCGUUGUUCGGAAUCACUGGGCUUAAAGGGCGUGUAGGCGGAGUGCAGGGUACCUUGUGAAAUCCCUCGGCUCAACCGAGGAACCGCUGGGUAAACCGGCAUUCUUGAGGCAGGUAGAGGCGGGCGGAACCAUGGGUGGAGCGGUGAAAUGCGUAGAGAUCCAUGGGAACACCGGUGGCGUAAGCGGCCCGCUGGGCCUGUUCUGACGCUGAGACGCGAAAGCGUGGGUAGCAAACAGG
rnacentral:rRNA from 1 species